rnacentral:rRNA from 1 species
GUGAGGAAUAUUGGUCAAUGGGCGGGAGCCUGAACCAGCCAAGUCGCGUGAAGGAAGAAGGAUCUAUGGUUCGUAAACUUCUUUUGCAGGGGAAUAAAGUGCAGGACGUGUCCUGUUUUGUAUGUACCCUGAGAAUAAGGAUCGGCUAACUCCGUGCCAGUAGCCGCGGUAAUACGGAGGAUCCGAGCGUUAUCCGGAUUUAUUGGGUUUAAAGGGUGCGUAGGUGGUUUGAUAAGUCAGCGGUGAAAGUUUGCAGCUUAACUGUAAAAAUGCCGUUGAAACUGUCGGACUUGAGUGUAAAUGAGGUAGGCGGAAUGCGUGGUGUAGCGGUGAAAUGCAUAGAUAUCACGCAGAACUCCGAUUGCGAAGGCAGCUUACUAAGCUACAACUGACACUGAAGCACGAAAGCGUGGGGAUCAAACAGGAUUAGAAACCCUUGUAGUCC